GGUAAGAUGGCCGAGAAUAGGCGGCGGAUUGUAGCUCCGUUUACAGGGAAGUCCCCCUUUUUACUA